GCAGGUGGUGCUACUGAGAAGCGAAGUCACGGAGGCGAGCGGUGGCUUUUCAACUCCACACGGGAGCCAAGGGCAAGGAGAACGGAGAGCACCUGCGUGAUGCCAACGGGCGAUCCUCCCCCAUUCCGGCAGGUGGAUGCCAGCACACCACGUGGAAAAAAGAUGAUCUAGAUCAGCGUGUUUCUCAACCUUGGCAACUUUAAGAUGUGUGGAUCAACUCCCAGAAUUCCCCAGCCAGCAUGAUCUAGAUGAUUGCUGGCAAUCACCAUUUUAAUUUCUCUAUCUGGGCAUUGCUCUGUUGCGGUUUCUUGGACCAGAUUUCUUGGGUAGAGAAAAAGAUGCCUGAUGUACCUCAGUCUUCCUUGUAGUAAUAUGUUGGGCCUCCAACUUUCACAAUUCCUAAUGACCAUGUUGGCUGGGAAAUUCCAAAAACUGUAGUCAUAUCACAUCUGCAGCAGGUUGGGAAAGAAGAACCUAAAUCAAUAUAUUUCAAGGAGAAAAGCAAAGGAGAAGAGAGGA